GUGCAUCUAAGCGAGAGUCAGAAGAACGCAUUGAGUGAGGUCUGGCGUAAUUAUAUAUAAAUUAACAGCYGUAUUAACAAUGGACAAUUACAAGAUCAAAUAAUCGGUACCAUCUCUAGGCGGACAUCUGCAUCCCCGGCCACCUUCGCGCAGCCCAGGAAAGCCCAGAGGCUGCAGCUCACAUUUGCAGGAUGCUCGCAAGCUCCUGCGAGAGUUUCCAAGAAGACUGCUUGCUUUCAGUCAAGGCCACUAUCUCCUCACCUUUGCGAGCAGUGGAGUCACACCAGUGAUUUAAUGCAGCGGAGGGAAUACUGUGAAAGCUGACAAUAGAUGUAAGGGGGUUUUAUGUUAUCGCCCACUAGUUUGCACAUGACUGGGUGUGAUUCACGGUCUUCACAGAAUGGGAGAAAAACUACAGAGAGAAUGAUUUAGAAAUAUCAUCCAAUUGAGCUGUGAGGGAAAAAAGCAAAAACAAAAGAAUGGAAAUACUUGCUGUACCUCAGGCUUACCGUAAAACCUUUACAAGUUGUAAAAAUACAGAAGUCAUGGACAAUGAAGUCAUGAAAAAAGACAAGAUAAUUCUAAUGUAAAUUCAGUCAUGAUAGAGAGAGGCUCUAAUAUAUGUAUAGAGAAAAUGCACUAUCAGGAUUUUAACUUACUGGGGUUUAGAGACCUAGUUAUAAAAUAACUACCUGCAUUGGACCUCCUAGCUUUUUAAGGCUAUCUUGCUUCCUACCAGUCUGUUAGCUGGGUUUUCAAAACAAGUCUGUGCAUUUGAGUUGUGGAAUUUGUGGAGCCUGUGAGGCUGCCAAACAAGGGAUUUCUUUCCUUCCUCAUCAUCCUCCAUCAUUGCAAACAAUGGACUGUGUCGUGAUUCUUGUAAAUACUUCAGGUAGUGUUUGUUUUAGAGGACAUGCCAAAUACGCUGUUUCUCUGAAUAUCCAGCGCUAGUUUCUGUCGUUACUGGCUCACUCUUUUGCCUAGUGUUUCAGCUGAGGUUUUAGGUGUCUCCUCUGUAUAGUACAUUCUCCUGUAGAUUUUGAAUACUGUGGAGUUAACAGUUUAAAAAAAAAAAAAUUCCUUCUCAUUUUUUGGGGAGUGGAGGAAUAAUAGGUCUAUAUUUUUAAAUCAUAAUAAUUCACCAAAUUAAUUGAUUUUUUUUUCCUUGACCUGUGUCAAGUAGCUKAAGUUGAGGUUAACUUGGGGGUCCUAAUGGACAGCAUAUUGACCAUGAGCCCUGGGACAAAGAAGGCCCCAACAGCAUCCCGGGCUGCAUUAAGUAGAUCGUUGCCAGCAGGUCAAGGGAGGCGAUCCUUCCCCUCCA
rnacentral:lncRNA from 1 species